rnacentral:lncRNA from 1 species
UUAUUCAAAGUUGGAACACCUAUGCAUGUCAAUGUAUUAUCAAAGAACACUCUUGCUGCCAAAGCUGCUGCUGCAGGAUUAACUAUCGACUAUCUCUUUAGGCUUGGGUUAGUUGCCCUUUAUUAAUAAAAAUAUCGUAUUAGUAUGCAAUUUAUAGUGAAUAUAAGUCAUGGAAAUAUUGUAAACACAUACAUAAGUAGAUUCAAACAAUCGUGGUUCUACUCGUUAAACACUGUUAUGCUACAAAACAUACUACAAUAUACUUGAUUUCAACAGUAGUAGCAACUUAUAUUUCUAUUCAAUCUAACAACAUUUUGCAGAAAUUUUAAUGCAAAGAGACUACGUAUAACAGAACUAAGAUUUUAUUCAUAACAGAAAUAACAAGCUAUUGCCAAUCACCAAGUCAUUGCAGUUGAUCUAUCAAAAAAUUUAUAUCUUUUUUUUUUUCUUGUUUUAACAUUUAUGGAACCAUUACUUUAUUAUUUCAAUGUACACCAAUAUUAAGCCCUAUCAUGCAGCUUCAUUAUUGACACUUUCUAUUGAUGAAAUUAAAACUGAUGAACAACCGAAAUAAAACAUUUAUGUGAAUCUUAAAGACUAAACACACUGACCCAACACCAAAUGGUUGGUAACCAUCUAACACUAUAGAACACAGUUGAUGAAGAUAACCUUUCAAAUAAAUUUUGUAUUAACAUGUUGCUACAUACAUAUAUAAUCUUACAACUUUAUGGAAAAUCACACUAAAUAUGAACAGAAUCUUGGAUUUUCUAAAACUAGAAAAUCUCAAUAAUACAAAAAAAUCUAAUGUCCUUAAAUAUUACAUUUACGCCUAAUGGUUAUAAAUUCAACCAAGGCAUGUCAAAUACCAAAAAGCUAUCCGCGAAAAGGAUUGAAGCAUUUUCUUUUAUAGAAUACUAAUUACAAACUUCAAUUUAUUUUCAACAUGCAUUUGGGUUACUCCAUUCACUACAACUAACAUUAAUUGAUGACAAAAGUAAGAAGCAUCAGCCAUAUUCUCAAUCAAUUUUGAAGAUCCAUUUUCAUAUUUUACUCAACUCAUCAACAAAGCAAACAAAAACUAACAUGCACUAAAAGUUCUUCAUACAUACCUCAUCCGUGGCUUGGAAAAAGUAAGGUAUUAACUGGUAGCCCACGAAACUCACUGGUCGGUACUCUCUGACCUCGCGGCCUUAAAUCAUUCAUCGCCGGUAUUGGAGUCCUCAACUUCACCGUCAUGGUCCUCAAUUUAUGGGCAAAGUGCUUGAUGAAAGUAUAAGAGAGAAAAUGAAAUAGAUUUUAAGCUUGGUUGCUUCGGCUUUGGCAGAGGAAAGAGAUGAGAACUUUUCAUUUUGUAUUAAUAUUUGUUGAGUAAAAGC